GUUAGAACUGAUGGUGGCUUUGAUGAGGCUAGGCUUCUACUUCGAAUUCACAGAUCUUACAAAGUGACAGGUUGUCCAAAUAACAUGCAGCAAAAUCAAUGAAUGAAAAAAGCAAGGAGCAUAUGUGAUUAUUGGGCAUACUAGUGCUUUACUAAAUGAACUUCAUGACUUCCCUUUGAAGUACACUUUUGGAUUUUCCAUUUGGAAGGUUAUUUACAAAUAAUUAUCAAACAUGCUUUUACAGGAAGGUAAGAGAAGGUAAUUUCAUUUAAAACAGACAAAUUAAAACGACUUGUACUACUUUGUGGGUAGUGAGUUGUAUUUUUCACCUGAAAUGACUGAAAAAAAUAUUUUUACAGGAAACUUAUUUAAUUGAAGCUAUUGUUAGGCACUGCAAAUAUGUUUGGCUCAUGCGACAGUUCCUAGGAAUUUAUACACGGGUUCAGAGUGUUGUUCAGGCACCAGAAAAUAAACCUCCAAGCUAUUUACUGCCUCCAUGAUAUAUAAAGUUUGCAGCUUUGAUUUUGUGUGAUUAUGUUCAGCAAUGGUGACCUUUAGAGGCAACAAUAUUGAAGUGUAAUGAGGAGAUGUUUGAUCACUGGUAUACAAUGAAGAGUUGGUGCUACUUCCCCAUUUUUUCCUGGAAUUUGUGAAAUUCAACUGACAGGCUUUAACCUUUAGACUGCUGAAGUUAUAAAAUGUAUAGGGAUUUAGGCUGUUUAUACAACACGUUAGAUAUAUGAAAUUUUUAGACAGUGUAGCUUCCUUUAUCAUCUGGUAAAAUGAUUUUGUAUAUUUAAUCAUAUCAGUCACUGGUAACCAUGACAAGCUGCACUCGGGUAUAUCAUGAAGUAUAUGAAGUGUAGGUUGAUGAAAAUAGGAGUGGAGGCCAUCAUGUAAAAUAAAUAGACAGUGGGCAUUCUCCCCAGACCAGGCAUUUUCAAAAUAGAUGGAUAAUGCUUCUCUACUUCUGUUGCCUUUCCAUCCAGGGUAGCAGAGAAGCUAGUAAGAGAUGACCUGUGGGCCCUGCUUGCUAAAAAUUUCCAUGAACUCAAGAAUGUUUUAAAUAAAGGAAAGAUAUUACCUUAUUCUGCACAUAAGGACUUUAAGUACAAAGAAGGAAAUCAUAGUAGCAGUUUCAACUGUCAACUUCUGCUUAGGAAAUCCUUAAUAAACCUUCAUGUCGAGAUUUGUGAAACAACUGACAAAAUCGCUGGUCUGAAGUUGCAAACAAAGUAUUAAUCAAGGCAGCCCCACUGUGGCUUAAUAAUAUCAAUGACAGACACUUCUUGGCAAUCAAGGAUCCUCUGAUGAUCAUCUAAUCAAACAGUACUGAUUCCAUCACACCAUGGCUUUGGUUGAGUUUAACAGAGAAGAGGAUUCAUCCAUAACCAAACAGGUUCAACGGAACAUUGAAAAUCAAAGGAAAGUGCAAAAGAAAGUGCUUCUAACUUUGGAUUGUGGCAUCAAGGAAAAGUAAAUAAAAUAAAUUGAAUAACUUCUUUUGCAGAGCUGAGAAGUCUCAAAGUUUCCUUCAUCUAAGAAUAUGUUAAAAUGACAUUGACAGAGUCCAGCGUAUUGGAGCCUGAAAUCUGACUUCUCCUUCAUGUGAAGGUGUGGGUAUUAAUUUGGUUAAUUUCUAAUGAUCAUCCAUAAUAACUUACAAAAGAGUUUGAAUAAUGAAACAAUGUAAAAAGAAAUUUGGUUCCAAAAGUAAGCCUUUCUAAGACAGAAAAUGUCUUAAAAACCUGCAGUAUUUAGAGGCUUAAUUAGUAUACUGGGUCAUUAUGACAUCUAGCUCGUUUCAUUACCUUCCUAAUGUAUUAUUAGUUGGCAGUUAAAUACUGUCUGCUGGGACCUAAGAGUUUUUCCUCUUGUCUUUCUGGUCAUACUUAUUGCCUAGGCCGACAGCUUACCUGUAGUGAGGAAGAAAUGGAACACCAAUUAGAAAGCUUUCAGCCCAGCACCCAUGGAAAAGCCAAAAGCUGAUAAAGGUCAGCGUGAAAUUUGAAUGACAGGGCUAAAGUCUUUUACUCAUAAUUUUGUGUUUGCAAUAGAAUUCAGAGCAAUUCACAGCCUUAAAGGCCUUAAGUGAGAACAGCAAUUAAUUGUAAUGAAUAAUCUGACAAAUCUGGUUGACAUAUGGCUGCUAAUGCCCUCCUUUCUAGUGGGAGCAGUGGAGGGAUUAGAUUAACUCAAAUGAAAUCUGGGACCGCCAUGCCAUCUGCAUGUUCAGUAGGAAACGGUACACGUUAAAUGGUGAGUGGGUAGAUAUCUGUCUUGUACUCAUCUCUCUCUGAGCCCUUGGCAGAUCUGGGAAUAGCAGUUUUAUUACUGCACCAGCUGCCUGUCAAUAGAGUAAUACAGGAACGGCAUAGAGUACAACCUAGAAAGCUAAUACACCACGAAGCUGUUAAAAAUUAACUAGAUACAAUUAACAUGGACUUCUAAAUUUCUCUGUUUAUACAAUGCAUAUUUAUAUUUUGAUUUUGGGUUUGCCUCAUUGAAUGUUC
ensembl:lncRNA